rnacentral:lncRNA from 1 species
UUUGAUGAUCAUGUAAAAUUCGGAUGAGAGUUGGCAAAAUCUCUAGGCCGAUAAAGUCGAUCAAUGUGCCAAAAAGUGUCUGAGAAUCAAACCAAACCUGAAAGCAGUUGAGAAAAGUUGGUGCCAGAGAUCCAAGAACUCAGACCUGUGUCAGUGACUUGCCAGAAAGAUUCUUGGGUAUCUUAUUAGUCUUGAUGAAUACAUUCUUGGAUAUCUUAUUUUCCCACUUUAGUAACUCUCUCUCUCUCUCUGUUUCUUUCUUUCAAAAUGUCAACUUGUCCAAGUGGUCACCAACUAACUAAGAGACGACUAAUUUUACGCCAACGAACUUGUUGAUCCCUUCUCAGGUCUCAGCAGCCAACAAUAGCUCGAGAUCGUGGUGAAAGUGAAAAACUUUCUUUCUGAACAAGUCGUUAU